UACGAAGGGGGCUAGCGUUGCUCGGAAUUACUGGGCGUAAAGGGCGCGUAGGCGGGUCGUUUAGUUAGAGGUGAAAGCCCAGGGCUCAACCCUGGAAUUGCCUUUAAUACUGGCGGCCUUGAGUAUGGCAGAGGUGUGUGGAACUCCGAGUGUAGAGGUGAAAUUCGUAGAUAUUCGGAAGAACACCAGUGGCGAAGGCGGCUCACUGGCCCGGUACUGACGCUGAGGUGCGAAGGCGUGGGGAGCAAACAGG
rnacentral:rRNA from 1 species